UCGUUGCACAGACACACACACAGAGAGAGAGAGAGAAGAUUUGGGUUAUCUGCUCUUCUACAAAAGCAGAAUUAACAAAUUGGUAUUUCCUAUGAAGGCUAUAGCAUCUAACUCUCUCAGCGUUUGCUAUGUUAUGUACAAGAAGGUAAUGAAAAUCAUGCAUCGUGUGAUGGGAUUUUAACAAGCAUCUGAUCAUUUUCAAAAGGACAGAGGGUCAAGGUUUGGGAAGGACAUCAAUGCAUGUUUUCUUCUCUUCCAGCUGCUAAGAAAGGAAGAAGAUGCAACAUGACUGGGCACCUGGCAACUGUGUUCAGUCCAGAAUCUGUUGCUUUUCCAGAUUUGGUAAAGAGGCCUGCCUUUUCUUCAGCUGAGCAAGGACACCAAACCAAAGCAAUAAAGUAGACACAGCAUUGUUCAUCAUGAUGGAUUUUUGCAGUCUGAUGGGCCUAGAUGUAGACUUAUGACAAACAACAUUACCAGCCUGGUCACUGAUUAUUCUGCUCCAGUUCAUACUAUGUAAAGGUAAAGAGACCCCUGACAGUUAAGACUAGUCCCGAACGACUCUGGGGUUGCGGCGCUCAUCUCGCUUUACAGGCCGAGGGAGCCGAAGUUUGUCCGCUUAAGCAGACGGUUUUUCCAGGUCAUGUGGCCAGCACGACUAAGCCGCUUCUGGCGCAACAGAACACCGACACCAGAGCAGCGCAUG